CUAGCCAUGUGAUUUUUGUACCUCCAGGGAUUCCACGACUUCCUCCAGGAGAUGAUCUCGCUCAUGGCCACCGUCGUCAGAGAGGAGCGCGUGUACAGCCUGGGCGAGCUCCUUUUGCAAGCCAGCGCUGGCACCCCGUCCUCGCUGCCGUCGCUGCCCUGCCAGGGCCGUCCGGCAGCCUCAGCGCCCUUGUCUCCCCUCGUAGAUCCUCUGCCGCAAAUUUGUUGUUUCCCCCACUUAUGUGGCUGACUGCAUAAAUAUAGAAGUUUUUGGCAUCCCCGACCUCGAUCUGUUAUUACUGCCAUUAAAAGAAGAAUGCUAAAUUUCAUUUCCCAGCUUAUGCAAAGGUAUGUUAUGCUUCUUUCAUUUCCCAAAGUCUACCAUCUCUUCGAUCUUUCCAAAGAAACCAGAAAGCGCAAGCACAUGAAAAUGAAAUCCAGGACCUUCAAUCGGCUGCAGAGAAGGUAAAUUUUUCUACUAAUUUGAUUCGCAUUAUGUAGACAAUGCCAUGUGAUUGCAUUAAUAGCUUAUUAUGCCUUUUUCUUUGGUGGGUUUAUUCUAAAAUUGGGUUUGUUAUUUUAAUUGAAUAUAGGAUUCUGCAGCUUAUCCAUACGAUACUUUGCUCAUAACUUAGCCUUUCAUAUUAACAUGUGGAGGAUUUAAAGUAGUAUUGUAGGUCAUGAUCUGUUAAUGGUUGAGCCCCUUCAAAAUCUGACGAAAGGGACCUGCAUAAACUUCAAUAAAUAAACUGUGUAUUUUUUCCUUCACAGAAAUCCAUUUCCCAACACUAAUUACUUUCCUCAAUCAGGCCAAAACCCCUGCUCAACUUCACAACAACAAAGAAGGUGGUGUAUGCAAGGUGAACAAAGAAACUGGAUAUAAUCUUUGUGAUCAGACUAGUCGUGUGCUCCGAUGAUUAGCGGACCUUUACCUCACCAAGCUACAUCUGUAGCUACUAUCACAGCAGGCCAACAGCCAGGUCUGCCCAUCCCACAGCUCAUCAACAAAAUUGGAAGAAACCGAGCUACUGAGCUAUCCCUAACCAUAACUGCAGAAGACAACUCCCAGUUGCCUCUUGGAACUACUAAACAAGUUGAAGAAACAGCUGGCUUUACUGCUCCAGUCAUGUUUCAGCUCCCUUCCCUUGAGAUGACAAUCCCAUUGGUGGACACUUUCCUCGCUUUGUCAGUUCAGAUCCCGUUCAGUUAUAUACCCGUGGAGAAAUGAAACAAGUUUGAAGGAAAGAGCGUCCAAGACCUUGAUGCUUCAAUUGAUUCCCCCUGUCGUACUAACAGUAAUCCAAACAAUUGAAGCUGUUGUGUUCCUAGCUGGACGCUACCUGGUGAUUCUAUGCCUGUUCCUUCGAAGAUUCUUUGCAAACUAUUAAACCAAGGAUCCUUUGUAGAUUGCAGAAUAGCUUGCUCCAAUGGAUGAAACAGGAUGACAAGAGCAAUCAUCUGUGGAAUCAGAUUUCGUUCAUUUUAAAAUGCCCUCUUGGACCGCAUAUUGAGCAACUUAGCUUACCACCUAACCAGCAUUUCCUUUAGUAUGCCAUGCUGAUGCUAAACAUGGUUACCAGCUGCCAUGACUUCUAUUUAUUUGCACCUUUAACUUCCUAGACCUUGUACUAUAUGCAACCUUGGUUCCUAAUGUAUCUUCUUGUUGUAUUACCUGUGUGAUUUAUGUCAUUUACAGUAAAUGAGCUGAUGAACCUUAUGUACCAGUUCUCGGCUAUCAGCGAACCAACAUAUCAACUCCUGAAUUUAUA